AUUGAACGCUGGCGGCAUGCCUUACACAUGCAAAUCGAACGGUAACGGGCCUUCGGGUGCCGACGAGUGGCGAACGGGUGAGUAAUACAUCGGAACGUGCCCGAUCGUGGGGGAUAACGAGGCGAAAGCUUUGCUAAUACCGCAUACGAUCUACGGAUGAAAGCAGGGGACCGCAAGGCCUUGCGCGGACGGAGCGGCCGAUGGCAGAUUAGGUAGUUGGUGGGAUAAAAGCUUACCAAGCCGACGAUCUGUAGCUGGUCUGAGAGGAUGAUCAGCCACACUGGGACUGAGACACGGCCCAGACUCCUACGGGAGGCAGCAGUGGGGAAUUUUGGACAAUGGGCGCAAGCCUGAUCCAGCCAUGCCGCGUGCAGGAUGAAGGCCUUCGGGUUGUAAACUGAUUUUGUACGGAACGAAAAGCCUUCUUUUAAUACAGGAGGGUCAUGACGGUAACGUAAGAAUAAGCACCGGCUAACUACGUG
rnacentral:rRNA from 1 species